CACUGUCAUUUUGCUGGUAGACUCCCUUUCUUGUUAACUUUGAUGGAACAAGUUGUGUUGUAGAGGCUCACAAGAUAAAGAAGUGAGGGCAGCCUCUGGCCAAUAGGCAGCCAUGUCCUGAGGCUCUCAGUCCAACAGUCUGCAAGUCUUCCCCACAACCAGUCCAUAUUCUCCACCUGAGAGAGAGCAGUCAGUCAUACAGUCCUGAUUGUAAGAGCACAAACUGAGAAGGGCUCAUACAUGUUAUAUCUCGUUUCAAAUUUACAACAAAUGCUGUGAGGGAGGAAGGUUGAUAAUGUGGGACAGAUGUCUAUAUUAGUGCCAUUUUUUAAAAGAUGCCAGCACUAAUAAAGGAUCAAGGUAUGUAGAAGAGAAGAAACCAUGUGUCUACGGGAGUGAAGGACUCAAGGAAGUCUUUCUGAAGAGUGCUGCAGUCAAACUUGAGAGUUGGGGUUACCAGUACCUGGAACACAAGCCAUGAUGCUAACUGAGAAUUUUCUACUUAUAUGCUUCUCAGAAGGCUGUGAAAAGAAUUACAUUCUGGAUUGUUCCUAGGUUCCUAUGGCAGCUGUAAGCAUUUUAAGGAAGAAAUAGUUCCCUAAAACCAUCAAUUUGUAAAUUGGCUUAUGUUUUGUUCCUUUAUGAAAAUUAACUCUUUUUGCAACAAUUUUUUGGGGGAAGAAUUAAUCUAAUAAACAAUUACUUCCAACUUAUUUUGUGUGUAAU
rnacentral:lncRNA from 13 species